UAAUACGUAGGGUGCGAGCGUUGUCCGGAAUUAUUGGGCGUAAAGAGCUCGUAGGCGGUUUGUCGCGUCGGCCGUGAAAACCUCAGGCUUAACUUGGGGCUUGCGGUCGAUACGGGCAGACUUGAGUUCGGCAGGGGAGACUGGAAUUCCUGGUGUAGCGGUGAAAUGCGCAGAUAUCAGGAGGAACACCGGUGGCGAAGGCGGGUCUCUGGGCCGAUACUGACGCUGAGGAGCGAAAGCGUGGGGAGCGAACAGGAUUAGAUACCCUGGUAGUCCACGCCGUAAACGUUGGGCGCUAGGUGUGGGGACCAUUCCACGGUUUCCGUGCCGUAGCUAACGCAUUAAGCGCCCCGCCUGGGGAGUACGGCCGCAAGGCUA
rnacentral:rRNA from 1 species